rnacentral:lncRNA from 1 species
GUGACCCCGAGCUGCUGCGCGGCCUGCAGGGGGCGCUGCCCAAGAAGAAGCGGGGACCCCGAAAACAGAAGGAAAAUAAACCCGGAAAACCCCGGAAACGGAAAAAACUGGUGUCUGAGGAUGAGCUGGAGUCGGAGCGGGACGAGUUUCCCGAGAGCGGGGGCAGCGACUCGGGGGGGCCCCGGAAACGGCGCCGGAAACACCGCGACCGCAAGGAGAAAAAGACCAAGAGGCGGAAAAAGUCCGACGAGGACGGGGGGCAGAAAGGGAAGGCUGUAGAGCAGAAGUCCUCGGCUCAGCUGCUGGGCGCCUGGGGCCUGGAGGACGUGGAUCACGUUUUCACCGAGGAGGAUUAUCACACGCUCACCAACUACAAGGCGUUCAGCCAGUUC